rnacentral:rRNA from 1 species
UGGGGAAUAUUGCACAAUGGGCGAAAGCCUGAUGCAGCAACGCCGCGUGAGGGAUGACGGCCUUCGGGUUGUAAACCUCUUUUAGUAGGGAAGAAGCGAAAGUGACGGUACCUGCAGAAAAAGCACCGGCUAACUACGUGCCAGCAGCCGCGGUAAUACGUAGGGUGCGAGCGUUGUCCGGAAUUAUUGGGCGUAAAGAGCUCGUAGGCGGUCUGUCGCGUCUGCUGCGAAAACCCGAGGCUCAACCUCGGGCUUGCAGUGGGUACGGGCAGACUAGAGUGCGGUAGGGGAGAAUGGAAUUCCUGGUGUAGCGGUGGAAUGCGCAGAUAUCAGGAGGAACACCGAUGGCGAAGGCAGUUCUCUGGGCCGUAACUGACGCUGAGGAGCGAAAGCGUGGGGAGCGAACAGGAUUAGAUACCCUGGUAGUCCACGCCGUAAACGUUGGGCGCUAGAUGUGGGGACCAUUCCACGGUUUCCGUGUCGCAGCUAACGCAUUAAGCGCCCCGCCUGGGGAGUACGGCCGCAAGGCUAAAACUCAAAUGAAUUGACGGGGUCAUAGCUG